rnacentral:rRNA from 1 species
AUGGACGCCGGGUCCUCAUCGUCGCCGCUGCGCAUUGUGAUCGUGCCGUGGCUCGCAUUCGGCCACCUGCUCCCGUACCUGGAACUCUCCGAACGGCUCGCCGAGCGGGGCCACCGCGUGUCCUAUGUCUCCACGCCGCGCAACCUCGCCCGCCUCCCGCUCCCGCUGCGUCCCGCGGCGGAGCCGCGCGUGGAGCUCGUCGCGCUCCCUCUCCCGCGCGUCGACGGCCUCGCCGACGGCGCCGAGUCCACCAACGACGACCGCGAGCUCCACUGGAAGGCCUUCGACGGCCUCGCCGCGCCGUUCGCGGAGUUCCUGGCCGGCGCGUGCGCCGACGAGACCACGAGGCCUCACUGGAUCAUCGCCGACUCUUUCCACCACUGGGCAGCCGCCGCCGCCCUAGAGCACCAGGUGCCAUGCGCGAUGCUUCUCCCGACCGCUGCGUUGAUCGCCACCGCGCCCCACCUGCCGUCGGAGCACGGCCGAGCACGUGAUCUUCCCCGUUACGAGCAGGAGGUGCACCGUCGCGGCCAUCCGGAGCUGCAUCGAGUGGGAACCCGAGUCCUUCCCACUGGCGGCGACGCUCCCAGCGGCGCCGCCGACGACGACAGCGCCGACAUGCUCCCUCCCGGUUUCCAGGACCGCACCAGUGGCCGCGGCCUGGUGACCACGGGGUGGGUGCCCCAGAUGAACAUCCUGGCGCACGCGGCCGUGGGCGGGUUCCUGACGCACUGCGGGCGGAACUCGCUGAUCGAGAGCCUCCUGUUCGGGCACCCUCUGGUCAUGCUGCCCAUCUACGGCGACCAAGGGCCGAACGCGCGGCAGAUGGAGGCGAAGCAGGUGGGGCUGCAGGUGGCGAGGAACGAGGACGACGGGUCGUUCGACCGCCAUGGCGUCUCGACCGCCGUCCGGGCCGUCAUGGUUGACGAAGAGGCCAGGAGGAGCUUCGUGGCAGGCGCGGCGAAGAUGCAGGCGGUCGUAGCCGAUACGCAUCUCCACGAUAGGUACAUCGACGAAUUUGUCCAGAAACUCAGAUCGCCGCAGCAAGUGCAAACGCUGCAAACUGAUGGCGGCUUCAGUUCUGCCGAGGCAAUCUCCACCACUAGCUCUGGUUUCUGUUAA